rnacentral:rRNA from 1 species
UACGGGGGGGGCAAGCGUUGUUCGGAAUCACUGGGCUUAAAGGGCGCGUAGGCGGGCAAGCAAGUCGAAGGUGAAAUCCCACGGCUCAACCGUGGAAGUGCCCCCGAUACUGCUUGUCUUGAGGGAGAUAGGGGCGUGCGGAACUUCCGGUGGAGCGGUGAAAUGCGUAGAUAUCGGAAGGAACACCGGUGGCGAAAGCGGCGCGCUGGAUCUCUUCUGACGCUGAGGCGCGAAAGCCAGGGGAGCAAACGGG